AGAACAGAAAAGUAGCAGACAGUUUAAUAGAGAGGGAGAGAGGAGUGCGGUCGAUCUGUUACCGUGCAAGACACCCGACAAAGAAGUACAGACUGCAGAACCGCAUGUGUGUACGGACCCAGACAGGUGGCAGUGAAACCCGCUGUUGGGAGCCAGGGUAGUUUUCCCCCAGGGUGGUGACUACCAGGAGGUAUCACCACUCCAGAUGCAGGCAACAAAACCAAACCAGAGAAACUGCUAUGACUGAUGCACAGUGAUAUCAAGAAUUAGGCUUCUAACUUUCUGCCCUUCUGUACUCAGCAUGUUACUUCCACAUGGAGGGAGGUCACCUCAGAGUCCAAGAUAACUGCUGGAGCUCCAACCAUCACAUUUACCUUCUAGAUGGUAGAAUAAGAACAGUGAAGAAGGGAAAUGUCCUAGAAGUCCCACAAAACACUUUCAUCCCCGUUUCAUUGGCUGGAUGUCAGUCUAACAGCCACCCUGAACUGGAAAGGAGACUGGGAAUUGUAGUCUUUUAGCAGUUGGCAAUAUGUCCAGCUAAAAACUGGAAUGCUGUUACUAAGGAAGAAAAAUAGAAUGGAUAAUGGAGACUACCAACAGAAUCGGCCAUCAAAAGUUUUUCUGAAGUAAGAUGCAAUGAGCACAAAUGUGGAAAAUAUUGACAGGUAUGACUAAAUUAAAGUCUAAAAUUUAAAAAA